rnacentral:tRNA from 1 species
GGGGAUGUAGCUCAAUUGGUAGAGCACCUGCUUUGCAAGCAGACGGUCGUGGGUUCAACUCCCAUCUUCUCCA